rnacentral:lncRNA from 1 species
AAGUAAAUACGCUUUAUUUAUAUAGUAAUGAAUGUUCAUAAUAUACAGAUAAGCGCUAAAAUUAUUCAUGUGAACUUUUGAUACUUUUUCUGAAAUUCUCCAGUCAUUAAAUCUUUUACAAAAUUCAUUGAUUACAUAAAAAAAAGAAGAUGUGGUAUGAUUGCCAUGUUAAGACAACUCUCCACAAGAGACCAAAAUGACACAGAUAUUAACAACUAUAGGUCACCGUACGGCCUUCAACAAAGAGCAAAGCCCAUACCGCAUACUCAGCUUCAAAAGGCCCGAAAUGACAAUGUAAAACAAUUCAAACGAGAA